rnacentral:rRNA from 1 species
ACUCAAAUGAAUAGACGGGGGCCCGCACAAGCGGUGGAGCAUGUGGUUCAAUUCGAAGCAACGCGCAGAACCUUACCAGCCUUUGACAUGCCGGUCGCGAGUACCAGAGAUGGAACUCUUCAGUUCGGCUGGACCGGACACAGGUGCUGCAUGGCUGUCGUCAGCUCGUGUCGUGAGAUGUUGGGUUAAGUCCCGCAACGAGCGCAACCCUCGCCCUUAGUUGCCAUCAUUCAGUUGGGCACUCUAAGGGGACUGCCGGUGAUAAGCCGCGAGGAAGGUGGGGAUGACGUCAAGUCCUCAUGGCCCUUACAGGCUGGGCUACACACGUGCUACAAUGGCGGUGACAGUGGGACGCAAUGGAGCAAUCCUGCGCAAAUCUCAAAAAGCCGUCUCAGUUCGGAUUGGGCUCUGCAACUCGAGCCCAUGAAGUUGGAAUCGCUAGUAAUCGCAGAUCAGCACGCUGCGGUGAAUACGUUCCCGGGCCUUGUACACACCGCCCGU